CCGUCGCGUGCGGGACCGGCGGGACCCUCGCCGGGCUGGCGGCCGGGCUGGGCCCGGGGCAGCGGGCCAUCGGGGUUCCGGUCCUCGCCGGCGGG
rnacentral:tRNA from 1 species